rnacentral:rRNA from 1 species
AUUGAACGCUGGCGGCAGGCCUAACACAUGCAAGUCGAACGAGUGGCGGACGGGAGAGUAAUGUAUGGGAAACUGCCUGAUGGAGGGGGAUAACUACUGGAAACGGUAGCUAAUACCGCAUAACAUCGGAUGUGUCCAGUUGGGAUUAUCUAGUAGGUGGGGUAAAGGCUCUCCUAGGCGACGUUCCCUAGCUGGGCUGAGAGGGUGACCGGCCACACUGGAAUUGAACCACGGUCCAGACUCCUACGGGAGGCGGCAGUGGGAAAUAUUGCACAAUGGCCGAAAGCCUGAUGCGCCCAGGCCGGGUGUAUGAAGAAGGCCUUCGGGUUGUAAAGUACUUUCAUCGGGAAGACGUUACCCGCAGAAGAAGCACCGCCUAACUCCGUGCCAGCGGCCGCGGUAAUC